GUGUGUGUGCGUGUGUGUGUGUGUGUGUGCGUGCGCGUGCGUGCGUGCGUGCGUGCAUGACAGAUUAUGUGUGUGUGUGUGCGUUCGCGCGUGUGUGUGUAUGCGUGUUUGCGUGAGUGGGCAUAUGUGUGUAUUUGCAUGGAGGGAAAACGAGUCACUGCCGCUCGUGCGACUAACACAGAAUAAAUAACAAGAAAAAAAGAGACACGCAACGAUGGAGAAUCGAGAGUAUAAUAUAUUGCGCGAUAUCUUUUUAGGCAAACACAAGAGUUGCCAUCGAUUAACGUUAUGAGUACUACUGUUCAUUUCCUAGCUUUCUGCGAACGCACAUCUGUUUGGUUUUGCUAAGCUUCUUGUACUAAUUUUUCAAUCUCAGACAUUCAGAGUACGCGCGUGCGCGUUUCGCUUGUCACGUGUGUGUGUUGAAUAAGAAUCUUUGAACGGGAAAUGGACUGUAGUGUGGAUCACGUUACAAUUGAAUUUGAUCGUUCAGAAUUUAUGAAUAAAUAGUUGUUAUAUUAACGAUUAUAUCAGGACGAAGUAGAAAGGGGAAAAAGCGUGUGAUUUGUCGCGAAGGAAAGAGAAAACAAAGAAAAAGAUCUAUCGUGUCUACAUAGGCAGUACGUAUGUCUCUUUUCGAUUUAAUCGACAAAAAAUAUAUCUUGAAUCAAGUCGCUGUAUUUUCGACGAACACUCGUCGAACAGAAGUCGCAGAUGAUAUGAAUGUAGAUAAAAUAUUGCUGAACGCCUCUUGCGACUCCAUUAUCGCUUUCUCGACGGUAAAAGAGUGCGAUUUAUUGACUGUGGUUAAGUCGAAUGAAACAUAAGAGGAAAAGAAACCAAGAAUAAGAAUGAGAAAAUAUUCGUAUAUUAUCACAAAUAUUUGAAUAUUUAUAUAUUACUGUCUGCAUUGCGACAUCGUACACUCGUUUAAAAAAUGAAUGACAUCUUUAUUAAAAGUAAUGAGAUUAUAUAUAUAUAUAUAUAUAUAUAUAUAUAUAUAUAUAUAUAUAUAUAUAUAUAUAUAUAUAUAGAGCAUAGGUGAGGGAGAGAGAAGAAAAAGGGAUGGUAGCCCGAGAGAAUAUGAAACCAUAUAUUAAUACAUAUUAAUAUGUAUAUUAUACAAAGUUAAUUAUACGUUUUGUUUCAUCGAUUCAUAUAAAAGGGGUGACGUGAUCAUAUAUAUAUAUAUAUAUAUAAAAGAAAAGACGCGAAAAAAAACGCGCUUUUACAAAAUGCAAGAAAUACAUACACACACACAUAUACAUACAUGGAUUUAUGCACGCAAAAAUAUGCAAUAUACAUUUCGAAAAGAAAAAAAAACACCAAACACGCGAUUUCGAUACUUUUCACACCAAAUUCUCACAGAAUGAAUAACGACACGCGCACGACAUAUAUUUCAUCGUAAAAAAACAUAUUCCACCGCAAGAAACACGGUACAAGAGACGGUGUAUGUAAUUAAGUUACAUAAGUUUGAACGAUGAUCGAGUUCUAACACAAUUGCAUAUUAGGUAUGUAUUAUACGAAUGCAUAAUAGGUAUUUAUAUAGAAUCUAUAUAACUGUAUAAUUGUAACGAAAUGCCAAUGUCCGCGGACCCAGGCAACUGCACAAAUCCGGUGACGUACAAUCAAUCGAAUUGAAAAUCGUUGUUGGGCGUUGCAGUUGCUUAGGCCCCUCUUGCCGGACACAGGAAGAAAGAUGAGACAAAACGAAUGGCACAGAAAGGAAUAAAAAUAAUAUUUCAAGACGGGCGACACGAAAGAGAGAGAGAGAAAGAGAAGGAGGAGAAUAACACACAAUUGUGUUAUCUCUCUGAGGAAAAAGAAAUCUAAAUACGCUUCGAUUUUGCAACGCUGUGCUAAUAUCAACACAAUGAUAAAUAUCUAUCCGUUCUCUUUUGUGUUUCUUCCGUGAUUGAAACGGCAAACCGAUAUAAAUCUAUAUUUCGCACUGGUGCGAAUAUGAAACGAAUGAGAAACCCAUAUAGAGAAAAAAAGACACGUAGAUGCGUUAUUAAAAAAUGCUAUUUAAUUGGGGAGCGUCCGAUUGAGUGCGUGAUCGACGCGUUUGCAUUUUUGAUGAGAUAUAAAAUGAGUAUAAUUUUAUUUAUUUUCUAGCGACAAACUCAUUGCUAACGUAUUUCUAUAAUAAAAUAAUUAUUCUUCAGUUGCAUUUUCUUUGAAAAUUUACAAUUUCGGCUGGUCUGAAUUUACUUAGCAUGUAGAUCGUUUCGACGAAUAUAAAUAUGAAAUAUAAAUCACAAUAAUAAAUUCAAGUACGCACGAGUGGGUGAAAUAUAUUGAGACAAGUAUCCCGAUCCUCUUCGAUUUUAAAGUGUAAUUUUCUCCAAAAGUUAUCUUUCUCACAUUCUUUCUGACAUUCUUUAAACGCGCGUUAAACAAUUGUUGCGCGAUAUCGAUAUAUAAUUUGUAUUAACUAAUUAUUGAAAAUUAAAAUUAACGAGAAGGAUGAACAAAAUCUAUUUCAACAGAUUGUUGACGAGCUUUUAUAUGACGCACUUUUUUACAUGUUUCUAACUUUAUCACCGGAAAAUUUUUUUGUUGAGUUCAAGGAAGAGGGGAGAGAGGUCAGAAAAAACUUGCGAACUGUGCAACAAGCAUUGUAUAUUGUUCGGAUAGAGCGUUGUAAACGGAAACUGCAAGGAAGAGACAUAGAAAAAAAUCGUUCACUGGCGCAGAUGGUAUGACAUUGUGAUCUAUGCAAAUUACAAAUCACAAAGCAACCACAAGUAGUAGAUAUUUAAGAUAAAUACACGUAAAAAAAAAAAACACGUACGUCUAUGGAGACUAGAGAAAAAGGGGAGGAAACAUUGUGUUACUGAAAUGUAUGCGCGAUAGCGUGCAUUUUAACACGUUAUUAAAAAGCGAGGACGACUACAAACGUACCUAACUAAAAAAACACAGAGAGAGCGGGAGAAAGAGAGAAACACAUAUAAAGAAAACAAAAAUAAUGAAGUGAAGAGAUACCGUCUGACACACGUAAGAAUAAGCAAAGUAAUAUAAAAAUGAAAGAAAAAAAAAAACAUGACGCUCCUGCCACGCAGCGAGUCUUUAGACAGCUUUAAGAUAAUUAUAAAUGAUAAAAAUAAUAAUUAUUAAAUAAUAACGAUAAACUUUCUAUAUGUUGAAUCGUGUCUAGUGAGAGAAGUACUAUCGAAGUAAAAAAAGCAACACAAAAAAAAAAAAUAAUAAUACUAUCGCCACACACAUGAAUUAAUGCAGUUUAUAUGACCAUUGAUUAGUUGUCUCUAUCUCGCGCGCGAAUGUUUUUUUCUGUUUUUCAUAAUAUAUAUAAUAUAGCGAGGAGAGAAAAGGGGUGGCUGUUAGAGAAAUAGCUUUUGGUGUUUCGUUUGAUGUUUUAUGAACAAACGUUGCGCGGUUGGUUGAAUGGCGGAUCUUUUUGCUAAAUGUUAUAAUAUCCACAAAAGGGUCCCGGAGUUCCAUAUACCUGUGUUUUUAUAUAUUCGGUGGAGUUGAACACCGAAGCUACUGUUAUCCAUUGUCACGCGCUAAUUCUUAUCACGUAGGAUUUUCAUAUGUGUACGUGGAUCGCGAGCGACAAUUGCGUGUAACGAUAUGAUAUCGGCGUUUGCAUUGUAAAAAAAAAAAUAAUAAAAAAAACGCAUUCAUUUCCAAACAGCUCACGUCUUUCAUAGCGAGACGAGUCGUCGCGAUCGCGACGUAAUCUCUCUCGCUUGCACGAAAUUGUGGCUCAUAAAAAGAAGCAAAGCUUUAUCAAGCUAAGUUCACCUAGUAUGAAAAUCCUGUCGUUGCUGCGAAUAUUUUUAUUAUUAUUAUUAUUAUUAUUAUUAUUAUUAUUAUUAUUAUUAUUAUAGUGUCAUUAUUCUUACUAUUACGAUUAUUCUUUUUAUUACCGCUAUGAUUAACUAUUAGUAUCUAUUAUAUUAUCGAAGAGAGCUGUUGUGUACUGAGAUUGCUAAUAACGAAACCAGUCUCGAGCAGACUGAUUUCUUUCGUUUUCUUUUUAGCAUAUAUCACACGACAACGAUCAGUCGAGUUUUUAAAUUUAAUGGCUUUCCCGUUCUCCAUCCUUUUAUUCCUCUCAUCAUAAUCAAUCUCGAUCUCAGUCAAAUCCUUCCUCUCUUUCUUCGCAUCUACAUAUGUAAGCACAUUUUCUUUUCAAAUUCGUUUCCGCUUUUCCUAAUCAGUUCUGAUAUAGAAUGCGUUCUGAUAUAGAAUGGUUUCCCAAAAGAGAUAUAGAGAAGCGAGGUGAGAUAACAGAUGCAGAGUCAAAAAGGGAGAGGUAGAGAAAUUUGACGGGAGGUCGAUUGAUGCCCUCAAAAGCUGAAUCGACAGUGUUAAAUUAAACAUUACCUAGAUUCGCGAUCUAGCGGGUCAAGCAAGAGUAAAUCAUCCUUCGAUGCGUUGCAGUUUCCCCCUUUUUUUUUUUCCUCCUGGCGCGCUCUCGCGUGUGUGCAUGCGUGCGUGAAUGCUAAUUUGUGUGCGUGUAUAGGCUCGACAAUCGAAGCGAGCAAGCGAGCGAAUUCUUUGUAAGGCGAGAGAAGAAAUUGAGAUGAGAAAAUUGCCGAUUGCGAGGACGAUGCGCCGUCGAAUUACGUUAAACACCACGAUUUUUGGAGGGAGUUAUAUAUGCAGGAAUUAUACAUGUCCUUGAACUAUUACAUUAUAUCAAUAGCGUAACAAAAAUCAAAGUUUGUUGUUGCAGAAAACAGUGAGAAUUACUGCGAUUGGCCUUUGUAUGUCAUUUGAUUUAUUAAAGAUAACAGUCUGUUGCAACUUUCAACGUUUUUCAUCUUCCCACAUGCACAUAGUGCAAGUAUCCUUCUCUCGCAUCAAUUCUCUCGUAGCAAUUAACAAUAGUAAUUAAUUUAUACAUUAUGUUAAAAAUUAUCUUUUAAGAGUAUUUCAACAUAUCAGAGAUAUUUUGCUUUUAAGAUAUGCGCGGGACAUUUUUGUAUAUCGCCAACGAAGAUGAUCUGUAUUUCGAAUGAAAUCUUUUUUUCCGCUAAACACAAAAACGCUUGGACAACGCGACGUGAUAUAUUUUCGUGGUGCAUCGUCCUUCAUGUAAGAUAGGCGUUGUGUAAGUAGAUGCGACGCUAAAAAAAACGUUUAACGCAGCGCGCAACUCUCAAAAGUUACUCGUUUCUCUCUCGAAGAAAAUCGAUAUAUCAGCAUAAUAUUAAUUGUUAUAUAAAUAUUUAUCGCGCGAGUCGAGUUUUCGAAAUGUUACAUGCUCGAGGAUGGUUUGUCGGACACAAAUUCGUACCAAUUGUUUCUUCGGAUAAACGUUUUUCCGCCACAUAGUUUGUAAUAUACUUCAAUAUUAACUAUUAAAGAAUAAACACACACACGAAAAAAAAAAAAAAAGGAGAAACGUCGGGGGCGAAAGAUCGAUUCACUGGCACGAUAACCGGGGAUAGGCACGAGGAGAAUUUCGCGCACUUUAAAUAAUACCCAAGGACCUGAGAGUUCAAGGAACCCCUUCUCCCCAAGUGCAUUCGAGGAACAAGAUCGCGCGUUGCUCGCGAAAUUUUGGGACCCGUAGAUAUCAGAAUAUGUUACAAAGGAUCCCGCAAUUCGAUCAGAUCGCACGUACAGAUAACGCGGAUUCUAGAAUUCAAGAUUUUUAAAAAUUCCAAGAUCUGAAGAGUUUGACAAUUCGCGGACUCUCGAAGAUUCAAUUUAUUUAAGGAGUCCGAAUGGUCCAAUGUAUCCGAGAUCCAUGGGAUUCCGAUUCGGAAAGUGCACGUCUCUGGGAUCUUCAGUCACGACCUUUCGCCCAUUGCUGCAGGAUAAAAAUCAUAGCUACUAAAGACAAAUCGUCUCUAACGCGCGUACUACAUGCGUGUAACGCGGAUGAUCGUGUAAUAUAUGUAUUGUAAGGUGGUUAGCAGAAAGGCGCUUAAAUAUCAGGAUAAGCAGUAGGAGGAUAACCGAAUCAGAAAAGAAUGAAAAAGAAAAAAAAAGUUACCGCGCAGAAGAAUUGCUGUUCAUCUAUUCGACAUUGCGUUUUCGACAUAAAAAAAAAUACGUGACAGAUAAGUGAAAGAUAAAAAGAAAAACAAAAAAUAGAAAUACACAGUACUCUACGGCUCACACGUUCGAAUGAAAAGAAAACUAAAAAAAAAAAAGAUUCAUCGCAUCGAUGUUGAAUGUAACACGUUUUACAAGGUAACAGAGCAUUUCAUUUUAUAA